AACGUAGGACGCAAGCGUUAUCCGGAGUUACUGGGCGUAAAGGGCGUGUAGGCGGUGGAACAAGUUCCCCGUGAAAGACUUCGGCUCAACCGGGGGAGGUCGGGGGAUACUGUUCGACUAGAGGAUGUCAGAGGGACACGGAAUUCCGGGUGUAGUGGUGAAAUGCGUAGAGAUCCGGAGGAACACCAGUGGCGCAGGCGGUGUCCUGGGACGUACCUGACGCUGAGACGCGAAAGCAUGGGGAGCGAACGGG
rnacentral:rRNA from 1 species